rnacentral:misc_RNA from 1 species
UAAACGCACCCACAUAGAUACGCGCAAUAGCACCAUCAGCAGCCAAGGGACUAAAAGGCGUGCUGGCCCGGUGGAGAAACAACCUGCGCAGCAGAAGAAGCCAUUCUGUAUGAUACUUUCCAUUUCUGUGUGUCUGCUCGUGGUCGCGUGCGUGAGCGUGCUGUCUGCGCAGUGACAGCAGGCCGUCAGCAUCCCGCUGUAUCUGCCUUGCCUUCUAAAAGACGACCUUUGCGCGUGCACGAUGAGCACCAGCACCUCCGCCGACUACCCUGUGAACUCAUGGGUGUGGGUGAAGCAGUCUGGCUACCCUUGGUGGCCCGCGAUGGUGCUGGACCCGGCGCAGGCGGGACAAGACCCUCCCGAGGGAAGCGAUGUCGUGCUUCUCUGCGGUCCGAGCGCCUCGGCGACGUUGGUGUUUGCAAGUUCCGCGGAUGCGGAGCAGCUGCGCCCUUACCACGGCGCAGCAGCGGACGCGGAACUCAUUGAAGCCGGCCGCAGCGAUGAGAGCUGUGCCGCCGCCAUCGAGGAGAUGAUUGCCGCCGUAGCUAGCACUGAUGCCGCGCCUGAAGAAGAGGGCCCGCAAACCACGCCGUCUGCCUCUGGCGCCGUGGGGGAGCAGGGCCAUCACGCCUUCUCUGGCGAAGACGACGUCGACUGGGAGGCGCUGGCAGCUGAGGCGGAGGCGACCAUGGCAGAGCCGCAGAACGCCGUGGCCCGGAAGAAGCGCAAGGAAGAUAAGAAACGCAAGAAGCGGAAGAGGAAUGGCAGCAGUGGUGGUGAUAGGCAUGCCGAUGGCGCUGACCCGCGCAAGACGCGGAAGGAUAAGCCCUCCAAGGGUCAUCGUCGUCACCGCAGUGGCGAUGCGGAUUCGGCGAAUGAGGCAGAAGUUAGCAGCGGAGACGACGAGGACGACAGCGAGAAUGAUGAGGACAUGUUCCAGCGACGCAAGGGGGCUUCCUCGAGCCGAUCAGCGAAGAAGGUCAAGUACGAGCGGCAGAGCAAACUUGAGGAGUACGACCUCGGGCCAGGCACGCUAUCCGACUACAGUCCACGUAAUGAUCCUGCAUACUACUACCGCAAAGUGCGCAGUGCACGGCGUACGGCGUCGUCCACGGAGUUGCAAACCUGCACGCAGGAGUUGCGUGGCUUCAUGUCGCGGUGUCUCAGUGGUGCUGCAACGGCCCUCGACGUCGAGGCGGACAUUCUUGGCGUUCUGCGGCAGCUGAAGAGCGUCGACGUGACGGUGGCGCAGCUGCAGGAGACGGGCAUCGGCGUUGCCAUUGGCAGUCUUCUCCGUUUUUUCACCCCACCUGUGGUGCAGCUGGCGCAGGCAAUACUAAACUACUGGUUCCACUCCUUGCCACAGAACACGCAGCAGCAGCUCUCCGCGGAGAAUGAGGUGGACCGGUGCUCCAUCGAGACCUGCUCCGAUGGCGUGGCUGGCGACAACGAGCUCGGUCGCAUUGGUGUAAACCUCUUCAGCUGCUUCACCAAUGAGGAGAUCGACGAUGCGCCGGCGAGUGUCGAUGCGAUGGCACUGUGCGGCGCCAUCGAAGACGCGCUCGAGCGCCGCUGCGACGCCGAUGCGCAAAUGCUAGUGCUCUCUGCUUUUGGCGACACCGGCGACACCGGCAAGGCGCUGCGCCGCCUCUUGUUGGAGGGCAAGAUUUAUGUGGAAGACAUCAUCAAUCACACAGGGAACCUGCCAUUGCUGGUCCGCACGCGACAGCGCCGCCCGCCGAACAUGCAGUUCACUUUCAACCCGCCAGCGUCCCAGGACCGCAGCGAUAUUGACUCACCGACCUCGCCCUAUGGCGCCUUUUCACCCAACGACGACGGAUCGACUGGCAGCCCCACCUUCGGCUCCCCAGCCGGGCGCACCACCACUGCACUCUACAGCUGUCCGCAUUGUGGUGCAAACGACGCGUACCAGAGGAGCUAUUCGGUGCAGGCACACGACAACAUGCCUGACAUCUUGCGCUGCAAGAAGUGUGGGCAGACCUGGAAUGUGGCAGAGCAGUAGUGCCCGAGCACAGCUCACCGUGGAGCACAGAGGGGCGGCUAAGCGUGAGCAUCGACUCCCUGUGCAGAUGCGUUAUUAUCUCCCUGGUUGUUUGUGUGUGUGUGUGUGUGGAGGGGGGGGGCAGGUGCGGUGACGGGUGCGUUGGCUGCGCGACGGCGCAGGAUUGGAAAGCACCUGCUCAGACUGUGGCAAUGAGGGUAAGAGCUCGUCGCCGAGGUGUGGAUGCGUCGAGUGUUUUAAGCAGAUGCAUCUUUGUGUGCGUGUGUCUUUAUGUGGGUGGCGGUGCGGCUGUGCGCAUCGGUGACUGAGCUCGGACCAUCAAAUGUUAACAGCAAAAAGGGGAUGGAACGAAAAUGAAGCAAACAAAACGAGGUGAGGGAUGCCCGUCGCCUCCGUGCGAAAGUGGACUCACGUCGAAAGCGGAAGGACGACAGCAAUGACUAGCCAAAACAAGCCAGGUGAUGCAGUCAUCUCACCCCCGCGCGGCCUCAGAUAGCAGGAAAGGUCGGCUAGCAGAGUGGGCGGAGAACGGCUACGGCUCUCAUCGGGCGCAGGGACAAAGAUAGACGAACGAAGGAAAGGUGCGCGGGUGCCUUAGGCUGAUGUGUCUGUGAGUGUGUGUCUUCUCUCAGUCGCUUACGUGAGGGGAGAAAGGUGCGCGUUGUGUCUGCCCUGGACAAAACCCCCUUUUUUGGGGCAGAGAAGACGGAGAAGAGAGAUGGGGGGCACGCGGCAAGAGUCACAGGGCGACGGUGCCCGGCGUGUAUUGUGAGUCGAAUGGUCGAGAGGUAUGGUGCAGGAAACAGAAGCUGUUGGAGUCUGUCGAUUGUCUUUUGCUUUCCUUGUGGUGUUUCUCGCCAGCGCAAGUGUGCCAACGCCUUUGACCCGCCGCGCCUACCAUAUCAUCCGCGUUUCUAUACGUCACCCUCUCUUCAUGGCAGUUGCUGCCUGUGGCCUUUUUUUUUC